AAAGGGAGGGACCCACAUUGCACACACUGUAAGAAAUGCACUUUCCGAAGAAGCGGAUGGGGGAGCCGGGACAUCCAGAGCUCCCCGAGUUGGGGGUGCCCGUCUGGAGCCCCCCCAUCAGCCCCUGGCGGUGGGAGGUGAGAGCGAGUGGUUUAAGUGCCUGAUUCCCACCACCCGCCCCCCCCUCUUUGUCCAGCUGGGACACGGAAUGGCCACGGGCCUCCUCCCCCUCCCCUCCAGCCCCUCCACCAGCCCCUCCAGUCACCCCUCAUCGCCGUGCCCCCCCCCAGAGCUAGAGAGAUGGGGCCCCUCCGUGGCCCAAGGGGCAGAGCUGGGCGUCACCUCCCAAGCAUCCUGCCCUGCCGGGGCGCGGGGAUGGGCUCUGGGGAAGCCGGUGCGCCCCCCACGCCUCCGCUGCCAGUGCCUUACAUUCUGGAGCGACCCCCCUCCCUGGUGCCUCCCAGCGAAGGGGGACUGCCGUUUGCACUUUCAUCGCCCCCCAAAGCGGGGCCCAGCCGGGAGACGUGCAUAACGGCUGGGCCCCCGGAGGAGAGAGGAGGCCGACGCCAGCGGUCCCCGCUCGGGACGGGGAGGGUUCUGGGGGGGGUUCGGCGUCGCACCUCGGGGCCCCCUCGCGGCCGUGCAGGGGGCCUCCCAUCUGCUAAGCGUUUUUCCGUUGAGCCGCUCCAAAAACACUAAGCUGGGGACGCCAGGUGCCCCCCACCCCGGCUCCCUGGCCCCAUCCACACCUCCACCCCGACCCCGGGAUCGCCAUCUUUAGGGGAGGCCUGGGAGGGGGUGUUAGGUGUUUUAGGGCCACCGAGCUCAAAACACAAGGCCCCCUCCCCGGCUUACCCAGCCCAGCCCCAACUGACCUCCAUGCCUAGGGAGAAUCUCCCCCCACCACGGCCCCCUCCCCGCACCCAGGCCAAAGCCAGGGCAGGUCUCCGGGUCUCACCUGCUCCUAGCCUCACCCCCCUGCCCCCGAAAUCCAGACUCUCCUCCCAAACUAGCCCCAGGAGCUUGGCGAACCCGCUCGCUCCUGAAGAGAAAGACCCAGGACCCUUCCCCAUCACCCCCUAAGAGAGGUUCGCCAUCCUCUGGCCUCGAGCCCUUGGUCCGUCCGUCCGUCUGUCUGUCCUCAGGGCCCCGCCCCCCGGUGGCCCUUGGGGACCAAAGCGUGGGCCGCUCUCCAGGAGGGCGGGCAGGGGAGGGGGUGGUAGGGCUGUGCCAUUGGGGUGUCCGGAAGCUUCUCAGCCAGGGUGGGGGUCGUGGGGUUGGGGAGGGGGGCCAGCCGGGCUCCCGAGGGUCAGGGCGCGACGAGAACCAACUCUUUACCUAACUUUGCAUGGUGCUUAGUCAAGGACUCCUGCGACCUGGCUCCCGAGGUCAGCUGGCGGCGCUGACACACAUGCAUGGCAGAUUAUACCUGGCUCUAUCUCCCUCCCCCUCGCCCCCCCUCUGCCCCCCACUUCCUCUUUAAAAAAAAAAAAAAAGAUACAAAAAAAAAACCUUAAAAAAAUUCCAUGUUUCCUAAUUUGCACGAAAUUUUCUACCACAAGAUGUGCCUUGCCUUCCGAGAAUAAGUAUUACCUUUAAACAAUAUCAGCGCACACACAUAGCUGCAUGUUCUGCUCGUGUAGUUUAAAAAAAAAAAAAAGACAAAACAGUGACAUGAAAUAAAAAAUAAAAAUUGAAAAGGGAUGUAUUUCUAUUUGUAAAAAAAAUAAAUAAAAAAUAAGAAAGUGAGAAUCUAAAAAAAAAAAAAAGAAGAAAAUCCACACUAAAAAUCAAGCCACUGAAAACAAUUGCCCCCAGGUCUACCCAGUCCCUGGCUGUCCUUGGUCCUGUCUCCCCUCCUGCUGUAUUCAGGGGGUGCCCCCUGGUGCUCAGCCUCUACCACCCCCAACCCUGCUCUCGGGUACUCAGAGGGGUCAUUUCUGAACCCCUGCCCAGAGGACAGACCUCCAGGGCCCACCUUGGCCCUGGGAAAGGGCUCUCCUCUCUGAUUGGUCCCUGGGCCAUGGGCCGGCCCCCAGACACCAUUCACUGACCCACUGCAGGUUGUCCCCCCAACCGUGGGGUGGCUACCCCACCUGCAGCCAGACUCCCCACUCCUCACUUUUCAUGCAGGCUGGCAUACCCCUGGCUCAGGGUCAAAUGCUGUUCUCACACCCACCUCAGAGGCACCCCCUCUCCCCUGCCCUGUGCACCCCCACCCUUCUUGCCAAAGGACCUCUUUUCCCCUAUCCAGAGACCACCCCAGGUGGCAUUCUCUCCCACUCUCUCCUUUGUCCCCCAUCCCCUGUCUCUGUCUUCCAGCUGUGAAUAUGAAGGGUAUCCGGUAUGAAACAAACAGAAACAAAACCUGA